rnacentral:lncRNA from 1 species
UCCAGAUCAUUCUCUACCCAGACUUUGGAAUUGCUGUUUGGUUCAAAUAUCCACCCUCAGUAUAAUCAGCUGUAUCUGGAGAACUGUGUGAUAUAUUACAAAUCAUAGGUCUUCAAGGCUGCUACUCAACAUAGCCUUAAGUAGUCUGCGAUAUCCUCAUAGACAAGGCAGUUAUGGUGACUAAUACCAAGUACAAUUUGAUGGAUGUAGUGAGGUUAUUUAUACCCAUUUUGGUAAGAAAGAAACAGCCAAACCAAAUUCAACGACAACUGAAGAAAG